rnacentral:rRNA from 1 species
GACGAACGCUGGCGGCGGGCUUAACACAUGCAAGUCGAACGGAAAGGCCCUGCUUUUUUGGGGUUCUCGAUUGGCGAACGCGGGAGUAACACGUGAGUAACCUGCCCUUCACUUUGGGAUAACUUCAGGAAACUGGGGCUAAUACCGGAUAGGAGCUCCUGCUCCAGGGUGGGGGUUGGAAAGUUUCGGCGGUUGGGGAUGGACUCGCGGCUUAUCAGCUUGUUGGUGGGGGAGGGGCUUACCAAGGCUUUGAAGGGUAGCCGGCCUGAGAGGGUGACCGGCGACCAUGGGCCUGCGAGAGGGACCAGACUGCUACGGGAGACAGUAGUGGGGAAUAUGGCCCAACGGGAGGAAGUGGGAUGAAGAAACGUCGCGUGCGGGAUGACGGCCUUUUGGGUGUGAAAAGCUUUAGCCUGUGACGCAGCGUGAGUGACGGUAAUGGGUGAAUAAGCACCGGCUAACUACGUG